AUCCUGGCCAACAUGGUGAAACCCUGUCUCUACCAAAAAUACAAAAAUUAGCUGGGUGUGGUGGCGCAUGCCUCUAGUCCCAGCUACUCGGGAGGAUGAGGCAGGAGAAUUGCUUGAACCAGGGAGUUGGAGGUUGCAGUGAACCGAGAUUGUGCCACUGCACUCCAGCCUGGUGGCAGAGCAAGACUCCGGCUUUAAAAAAAGAAAAGAAAAAGGCCUUUCUGUGCUACCCACAGAGGGGUCCAUACGGCAUUGUUCUGGAUUCCUGUCGUAACUUAAAGGGAAACUUUCACAAUGUCCAGAGCCCUUGAUGGCCUGCGGAUGAAGGAGGAGGAUGUCCUUAAGUUCCUUGCAGCAGGAACCAACUUAGGUGGCACCAAUCUUGACUUGCAGAUGGGACAGUACAUCUAUAAUAGGAAAAGUGAUGGCAUGUACAUCAUACAUCUGAAGAGGACCUGGGAGAAGCUUCUGCUGGCAGCUCAUACCAUUGUUCCCAUUGAAAACCCUGCGGAUGUCAGUGUUAUAUCCUCCAGGAAUACUGACCAGAGGGCCAUGCUGAAGUUUGCUGUUGCUACUGGAGCCAAUCCAAUUGCUGGCUGCUUCACUCCUGGAACCUUCAGUAACCAGAUGCAAGCAGCCUUCUGGGAGCCACGGCUUCUUGUGGUUACUGACCCCAGAGCUGACCACCAGCCUUUCAUGGAGGCAUCUUACGUUAACCUACCUACCAUUGCUCUGUGUAACACAGAUUCUCCUCUGCGCUGUGUGGACAUUGCCAUCCCAUGCAACAACAAGGGAGCUCACUCCGUGGGUUUGAUGUGGAUGCUGUCUCUGAAGUUCUGCGCAUGCGUGGCACCAUUUCCCGUGAACACCCAUUGGAGGUCAUGCCUGAGCUCUACUUCUACAGAGAUCCUGAAGCGAUUGAAAAAGAAGAGCAGACUGCUGCUGAAAAGGCAGUGACCAAGUAGGAAUUUCAGUGUGAAUGGACUGCUCCAGCUCUUGAGUUCACUGCUACUCAGCCUGAGGUUGCACAAUGGUCUGAAGGCGUGCAGGUGCCUUCUGUGCUUCUUCAGCAGUUCCCUACUAAAGACUGGAGCACUCAGCCUGCCAUAGAAGACUGGUCUGCAGCUCUCACUGCUCAGGCCACUGAAUGGGUAGGAGCAACCACUGAAUGGUCUUAAGCUGUUCUUGCACGGACUCUUAAGCAACAUGGAAAAUAAACAUCAGUAUCUAAAUAAAAAAAUUUAAAAAAACCAAAAAAUUAACUCCUGGCAUAAGGUGUUAGAUUUUGUUAGACGAGCUAUGAAGACUUGACAUUACAUGGAGCAUAGUAAAGAUAAAAAGUUAGAAGUUGGUUCAACUUCUCUUUACUCAGGCCAGAUUCUCUAACAGAAAAUUUUUGAACUUGAUUCAUCUCGGAGUGAUCAGAAUUUUUGAGGAGCAAAUCCCAAAACUGCACAUGCAUAUGAAUGGGUCUUAACAGUUUUGGAAGUGCUGCUUGCCUUAAUUUCUUAUGACUUGACACAAAGUCUGUAAUCCCAGCACUUUGGGAGACUGAGGCAGGAGAAUCUCUUGAACCCAGGAGUUUGAGACCAGCCUGGGCAACAUGUGAGAUACUGUCUCAACAAAAAGUUUAAAAAAUUAACCAGGUGUGGUGGUGUGUGCCUGUAGCCCCAGCUACAUACGAGGGGAGGAUCAUUGGAGCCCUGGAGUUCCAGGCUGCAGUGAGCUAAAAUGGUGCCACUGCACUCCAGCCUGGGCACAGAGGGAGACCCUGUCUCAAAAAAAUAAUAAUAAUAAAAAAUAAUAAAACAAAUAGAGUGAUCAGUGAGUGUCUGCCCUGUGAAUGAAACAUUUUUUCAGCAUCUGCAACAUGUAACACAAUGCAUAGGAGUUCUGAUCCUUUCUUGUUUGUUAUUGGGAUUAGAUACACACUGUCAUAUUUAGCCAUAUUAAUGUGUGAUUAUUCAGGCUUCAUAAUUAGGAUAUGACUUCUUAGGUCCAAGAGGUUGUAAAAUGAGCUAAAUAAAUAUGAUUGUGGCAUAUUUAUGAAUAUUACAGUUAAACACAUAAAGGCAUUAUCAAAAGCAUGUGGAUUUAUUCUUAUAAUUUAUUAUCUAGAGAAAAUAGAGCAGAUAUUUAACCUCUCUAUGGUAAAUUAACAACCCAAAUGACAUGCAUUACUGAUGCAGAACUUUGUUCCCUAGUUCAGCUAAACCGGGCUCUUGUCACAAGACCAGGAAGGAUUAGGAACACAGACACACUGAAGGGUGAGGGGAACGGAAUUUAUUGGGCCAAAGAGGAAAAGAAGAAAAAAAGUACCUUCAGUAACGUGAGAGGGGAUCCUCCUAAUAGGCUCCCCACCUCACAGACUGAAUUCCAGGCCACCACCCAGGAACUGAAAAGGCCAGGCUCCUCCCCGUAUCUAUCACUCCCCGCUCUGAAGAAGUACAUCUAACUGCCUUUAGAGUGAGGAUAAGGACGAAGACCAAUCUUAACUUCUUCCUGCUGACAAAGGUACCUGUUUUGGGAAAACAGCAGUCAGAUCCCCCUCAGAGGCCAUCUAGGGUUCCUGGCAAAAGGGGCCAUCAUUCAAGGCUCCGGUUGCAUGGCUGCUUGGAGUUUGAUGACCUAAAGGUGAGAAUAAACAAACCGGGUUAUUAGAAAACAUGUAUCAGAACAGAAUGGGGUAGCGGGUAAGGACAGCUCAAAAAUUCCAAGGCCUUUUAUUGGUUUGCACAGGGAGUCAGAGGCCAAAGCCCGACUGGUUAAAAAAAAAAAACUUUUACCCUUUUUCCAGCAUGUCAGGCUUCUGUGUUCCCUUCCCCCAAGCGCAAUCCUAAGUCAACUAGUUUAAGGUUUGGGAAAUUAACUUUUCCCAGGUUGGAGGAUGCAUCAGAGGGGAGGGUCCCGUAGUACAGAGACACAAUUACCUAUCAGUGAAGGGAGGACAGAGGAGGAAAAAGAUGAUUUUUUUUUCAAAGGAGUCCUAGAGAUUCAGAAUGCAUUUGAAAGGGGUAGAGACUAAAGGUGAAUGGCUACUCAUCUAGAAAGAGGGGAGCGAAGCAUCCCAAGUUCCCUUCUCUUCCUAGUGAAUACCCAGGGUGUGUGAGGGAGAGAAAGUAAAGCAUCUCUUUCUUCCAUCGUUAUAUCCCCAAGUCCCCACAACCUCUACAGGGUACCACCCAUGGGUGUCAAAGUGGCCUUCACCUAUGUUAACAGGGGGGCCUAAGAGGGUGGGAAUAUCUGCUCUUACCCACAUAUGCCCUAUCCCCCCUGCUGUCAGUAGCCUUUGAAUUCCCUAGACUGCAUUUAUGCCAUGGAUAUUGGCAUAGCCUUUAUCCAUAAAAGGAGAAGCCUGGCUUAAUUGGUAGGAAUAAGUCAUGCUCACCUGAGCUGUGCCUUUUUUUUUUUUUUAACUUCCAUUAUUGUCUGCUUGUGGACCUCUCAGAUCUAGUUUUAUUUCCUAGGGCCUUUAUCCAAAGCUUAGAAUUGAGUUUGAGACAAAAAUGUGUCUUAGGGGUUGUGUGGACUCCUUAUCAUAAGCCGAAUGCUAAGGUGAAGCUGUGGAAUUUAGUCCUCCUCCAACAAGAGAGAGAAAAGGAUGUCUUGUGACACACCCAGAUAACUGAUGGCUAUAGUUAUGCUUGCUAAGAUCUGGGUGCAUGGGACCUGGCUUUGGUUAGCUCCCCUGGUCUUACUCUCCCAAAAAGGAAACCUCCGGGCGAUGGGCAUCCUGUUUAUUCCCAUCACUUGACAGGAAUUGCAGGAUAAUUGCUGAGAACUAGAAUAUUGAUCCAGAUUUUUACAUUAUCCAUCCCCUUAGCUCCUUCUGAGCUGCAGCCAGAGAUUGCUGGUUGGUUCACAGGAAUAAGCAGGAUUAGUUUAAAAUGUAGACAAGAACUUAAAAACAACUAGUGAGUCUAGAAUGUAAUGACAAACGUAUGACAAGUUUUGAAACAUUUU